CCUACGGGAGGCAGCAGUGGGGAAUCUUGCACAAUGGAGGAAACUCUGAUGCAGCGAUGCCGCGUGAGUGAAGAAGGCCUUUGGGUUGUAAAGCUCUUUCGUCGGGGAAGGAAAUGACUGUACCCGAAUAAGAAGGUCCGGCUAACUUCGUGCCAGCAGCCGCGGUAAUACGAAGGGACCUAGCGUAGUUCGGAUUUACUGGGCUUAAAGAGUUCGUAGGUGGUUGAAAAAGUUGAUGGUGAAAUCCCAGAGCUUAACUCUGGAACUGCCAUCAAAACUUUUCAGCUAGAGUAUGAUAGAGGAAAGCAGAAUUUCUAGUGUAGAGGUGAAAUUCGUAGAUAUUAGAAAGAAUACCAAUUGCGAAGGCAGCUUUCUGGAUCAUUACUGACACUGAGGAACGAAAGCAUGGGUAGCGAAGAGGAUUAGAUACCCUCGUAGUCCAUGCCGUAAACGAUGUGUGUUAGACGUUGGAAAUUUAUUUUCAGUGUCGCAGCGAAAGCAAUAAACACACCGCCUGGGGAGUACGACCGCAAGGUUAAAACUCAAAGGAAUUGACGGGG
rnacentral:rRNA from 1 species